AGUGAACGCUGGCGGUAGGCCUAACACAUGCAAGUCGAACGGCAGCACAGUAAGAGCUUGCUCUUACGGGUGGCGAGUGGCGGACGGGUGAGGAAUACAUCGGAAUCUGCUUUUUCGUGGGGGAUAACGUAGGGAAACUUACGCUAAUACCGCAUACGACCUACGGGUGAAAGCAGGGGAUCUUCGGACCUUGCGCGAGUGAAUGAGCCGAUGUCGGAUUAGCUAGUUGGCGGGGUAAAGGCCCACCAAGGCGACGAUCCGUAGCUGGUCUGAGAGGAUGAUCAGCCACACUGGAACUGAGACACGGUCCAGACUCCUACGGGAGGCAGCAGUGGGGAAUAUUGGACAAUGGGCGCAAGCCUGAUCCAGCCAUACCGCGUGGGUGAAGAAGGCCUUCGGGUUGUAAAGCCCUUUUGUUGGGAAAGAAAAGCAGCAGGUUAAUACCCCGCUGUUCUGACGGUACCCAAAGAAUAAGCACCGGCUAACUUCGUG
rnacentral:rRNA from 1 species